UACAGAGGGGGCAAGCGUUGUUCGGAAUUACUGGGCGUAAAGGGCGCGUAGGCGGCCCUCUAAGUCAGACGUGAAAUCCCUCGGCUCAACCGGGGAACUGCGUCUGAGACUGGAAGGCUUGAAUUCGGGAGAGGGAUGUGGAAUUCCAGGUGUAGCGGUGAAAUGCGUAGAUAUCUGGAGGAACACCGGUGGCGAAGGCGGCAUCCUGGACCAGUACCGACGUUCAGGCACGAAAGCGUGGGGAGCAAACAGG
rnacentral:rRNA from 1 species